rnacentral:rRNA from 1 species
ACUGUGGGUAGCGGAGAAAUUCCAAUCGAACCCGGAGAUAGCUGGUUCUCCCCGAAAUAGUUUUAGGACUAGCCUCAAGUUAGAUACCUGGAGGUAAAGCACUGAAUAGCCUAGCGGCCGAGAGGUUAGCGAAGCUUAUCAAACUCAGAAUGCCAGAAUAUUGAUGCUUGGGAGUCAGACAGUGUCAGAUAAAUGUCAUUGUCAAAAGGGAAACAGCCCAGAUCUACAGCUAAGGUCCCAAAGUUAGGUUAAGUGGAAAACGAUGUGAAGAUACGCAGACAACCAGGAUGUUGGCUCAGAAGCAGCCACUCAUUCAAAGAGUGCGUAAUAGCUCACUGGUCGAGCGUCUUUGCGCGGAGAAUUUAACGGGGCUAAACCUGACACCGAAGCUUAGGCAAUACAGCAAUGUAUUGGGUAGGGGAGCGUUGUAUACGCGGUGAAACAGUAGCGCAAGCGGCUGUGGAGUGUAUAGAAGUGAGAAUGCCGGAAUGAGUAGCGCGAAUGCAGUGAGAAUCUGCAUGGCCGAAAGCCUCAGGUUUUUGGAGGAAGGUUCGUCCGCUCCAAGUUAGUCGGGAGCUAAGGUGAGGCCGAGAGGCGUAGCCGAUGCACAGACGGUAGAGAUUCCGUCACCACCGAAAGAGUUAAGCACAGGGACACAUUUGAAGUCUCAGAGCCGGGUGUUGGUUCCGGUAGAGAUCGAGGGAAGUUAGUACCGAAGUCUGAGAUGGAAGAUGGCGAGAAAAGCUGUGUGGAUUUCUGAGGUGCCCGUACCGCAAACCGACACAGGUAGGUAGGAAGAAGAUUCUAAGGCCAACGGGAGAAGGGUUGUUAAGGAACUCGGCAAAUUGACCCCGUAACUUCGGGAGAAGGGGUGCUCCAGAGAUGGAGCCGCAGAGAAUCGGCCCAAGCAACUGUUUACCAAAAACACAGGUUUGUGCUAAAUCGAAAGAUGACGUAUACGAGCUGACGCCUGCCCGGUGCUGGAAGGUUAAGAGGAGAUGUGCAAGCAUUGAAUCGAAGCCCCAGUGAACGGCGGCCGUAACUAUAACGGUCCUAAGGUAGCGAAAUUCCUUGUCAGGUAAGUUCUGACCCGCAUGAAAGGCGUAAUGAUUUGGGCACUGUCUCAACAGCCCGCCCGGCGAAAUUGUAGUACCGGUGAAGAUGCCGGUUACCCGCGACAAGACGGAAAGACCCCAUGGAGCUUUACUGUAGCCUAAUAUUGGGUUUCGAUGUUGCAUGCACAGGAUAGAUGGGACUCUGGGAAACCAGUGCUUUGGCGCUGGCGGAGAGGCCGUUGGGAUACCAUCCUUGCGAUAUUGGAAUUCUAACCUGCGGCUCUGAAUCGAGUCGGGGGACAUUGUUAGGUGGGCAGUUUGACUGGGGCGGUCGCCUCCUAAAGAGUAACGGAGGCGUUCAAAGGUUCGCUCAGCUUGAACGGAAAUCAAGCAAAAGAGUGCAAACGCAGAAGCGAGCCUAACUGCGAGACUGACGGGUCGAGCAGUAACGAAAGUUGGAGUUAGUGAUCCGGUGGUAUGUGAGUGGAAAUGCCAUCGCUCAACGGAUAAAAGUUACCCUGGGGAUAACAGGCUGAUCUCCCCCAAGAGUCCACAUCGACGGGGAGGUUUGGCACCUCGAUGUCGGCUCAUCACAUCCUGGGGCUGUAUUCGGUCCCAAGGGUUCGGCUGUUCGCCGAUUAAAGUGGUACGCGAGCUGGGUUCAGAACGUCGCGAGACAGUUCGGUCCCUAUCUGUCGUGGGCGCAGGAUAUUUGAGGAGCUCUGUCCUUAGUACGAGAGGACCGGGAUGGACGUACCUCUGGUGCACCAGUUGUCAUGCCAAUGGCACGGCUGGGCAGCUAUGUACGGAACGGAUAAACGCUGAAAGCAUCUAAGCGUGAAGCCGACUCCAAGAUUAGAUAUCCCAUCGUAUAACGAGUAAGACCCCUUGAAGACUACGAGGUUGAUAGGCUGCGUGUGUAAGUGCCGUGAGGCAUUCAGCUUGGCAGUACUAAUAGGUCGAGGGCUUGACCA